GGGUGCGAUCAUCGCAGCGUUAAUGCACUGGAUCCCAUCAGAACUCCGCAGUUAAGCGGGCCUGGGCUAGAGUAGUACUGGAAUGGGUGACCUCCCGGGAAGUCGUAGUGUUGUACCCU
rnacentral:rRNA from 1 species